rnacentral:lncRNA from 10 species
CGCCGGUGAGCCAGGCGGAACAGAGCCAUAUUUCUCUUCUUUCAAAAGCAAAUGGGAGAAAUAUCGCCGAAUUCUUUUUCUCAGCAAGGAACAUCCCUGAGAAAGAGAAUGUGCCCCUGAGGGUGGGCCUCUAAAAUGGCCCCCUUGGGUGUAGCUGUCUUCUAUGGUCGAGACUGUAGGGAUGAAAUAAGCCCCAGUCUCCCAUAGCGCUCCCAGGCUUAUUAGGACGAGGAAAUUCCCACCUAAUAAAUUUUGGUCAGACAGGUUGCUCUCAAACCCUGUCUCCUGAUAAGAUGUUAUCAAUGACGAUGGUGCCCGAAACUUCAUUAGCAAUUUUAAUUUCAACCCAGUCCUGUGGUCCUGUGAUCUCGCCCUGCCUCCAUUUGCCUUGUGAUAUUCUAUUACCUUGUGAAGCACGUGAUCUCUGUGACCCACCUCCUAUUCGUAUACUCCCUCCCCUUUGAAAAUCCCUAAUAAAAACUUACUGGUUUUACGGCUCAGGGGGCAUCACGGAACCUACCGACAUGUGAUGUCUCCCCAGGAUGCCCAGCUUUAAAAUUUCUCUCUUUUGUACUCUGUCCCUUUAUUUCUCAACCCGGCCAAUGCUUAGGGAAAAUAGAAAAGAACCUAUGUGACUAUCUGGGCAGGUUCCCUGAUAGUUGUCUGGCUGUUUUUGCUGCCCAUGCUUUUAAGGAUGUAUCCAAGAAAUCAUUGCCCAGAACAACAUCAUAGAGCUUUUCCCCUAUAUUUUCUACUAGUAGUUUUACAGUUUCAAAGGCAACAUUUCAGGCUUUAAUCCAUUUUGAGUUGAUUUUUCUAUAUGCUAUGAGAAAAUGGUUCAAUUUCACAUAUAGAUAUACAGAUAUCUCAAAACAAUUUAUUUAUUUAUUUGUCCUCUCCCCAUUCUGUGUGCCACUUUUGUCAAAAAUCAAUUGGAUGGAAAUGUAUGAGUUAUGUCUGGGCUUUCCUGUUCCACUGGUCAGUGAAUCUGUUUUUAUGCUGGUACCACAGUUUUUUGAUAAUGGAUUACAAAAUCAGGUAGAGUGAUGCCUCCAGCUGUGUCCUUGUUGCUCAAGAUUACUUUGAUUAUUUAAUGUCUUUUGUAGUUCCAUACAAGUUUUAGAAUUUUUUUUGUAUACCAGUCGUCAAUGCAAUUUCAAACAAACAAUGCAAAAUUGGUAAAAUGUUUUAGUCUUUAUGUAGAUUUCAUCAAGUGUUUUGCCUUCUCCCAAGGGUUAGGAAGUUUAAAACUAAUGUUCUGGCCGGGCG